CCGCCGCGCUUCGACGUCGCCCCUGUCCCCGUCCCGCCCGCCGCCCCCGCCAACCCCGCCGCCGGGGACAUGUCCAACCCCUGAAGCCGGAGGAACGGGCCAGUCAGACUGCGCCCGACAGGGGGUACUUUUCUAACUAUGUGCUCAUACAAACUUUAGAGCAAACUUUCUCUUACUCUCCCCACCCUCCCCCUUCCUUUUUCUAAAUGGAAAAUAAUGUCCGGAGGGGUUGCUAGAUAGAAGACUACACUUACAAAGUGUUUAUGAUUCCAGGCGCAUGAAAUCUUUAACAUUACAGGUAUAUUGAAAAGUCUGAUUCAGUUACAAUCAGUGUAUGGAAUCACAAGAAGAUCCAUAAGAAACAAGGUGCUGGAUUUCUCCGUUGUGUUCGUCUUUUUCCAGUGCCAUCAACCACCUCAAAGACACUGGUUAUCAGAGGUUGGAUUUAUGCAAACUUGGGCCAAAGGACAGUUAGAAGACAGUAGUAAGUCUUCAGUCCAGGGACCAAAUCGGCACAGGAGGACAAGUUGUGGACUGCAGUCAUUUAUUUGAUAAUGAUUUACCAGACAA
rnacentral:lncRNA from 1 species